rnacentral:ncRNA from 1 species
CUUAAUAUUUGGCAAAGUCAGCGAAAGCUGACGACGCAAAGCUGAGUGUCUAAAAUAAUGUAUGUAUUGCAAUUGCAUUAUGUACUUAUUAUGAUUGACUGGCUGCAAGA